UACGGAGGGUACGAGCGUUACCCGGAUUUACUGGGUGUAAAGGGCGUGUAGGCGGCCUGUGGCGUCCCAUGAGAAAGGCCACGGCUCAACCGUGGAGGAGCGUGGGAUACGCUCAGGCUAGACGGUGGGAGAGGGUGGUGGAAUUCCCGGAGUAGCGGUGAAAUGCGCAGAUACCGGGAGGAACUCCGAUGGCGAAGGCAGACACCUGGUCCACAUGUGACGCUGAGGCGCGAAAGCGUGGGGAGCAACCCGG
rnacentral:rRNA from 1 species